rnacentral:rRNA from 1 species
UACGGGGGGGAGCAAGCGUUGUUCGGAUUUACUGGGCGUAAAGGGCGCGUAGGCGGCCAGCACAAGUCAGUUGUGAAAUCUCCGGGCUUAACCCGGAAAGGUCAACUGAUACUGUGCGACUAGAGUGCGGAAGGGGCAACUGGAAUUCUCGGUGUAGCGGUGAAAUGCGUAGAUAUCGAGAGGAACACCUGCGGCGAAGGCGGGUUGCUGGGCCGACACUGACGCUGAGGCGCGAAAGCUAGGGGAGCGAACGGG